GUUGAGUAUACCAGUUGCAUACAGUUAUAUGCAGCUUGUAUACUCAAUAGUAGGAAAUUAAAGUUUUACCCAGUUUACUGAACCCGAAUCAGUUCCAGCUUUUCCACGCAAUGGUACAAAAUAGUAAGGUUGAAAAAAACAUUUGGGUAUGGUGUGGAUCAUAUUCGGAGGGGGGGCUAGAUCUAAUUAAGCAUGGAGUUGGUGCAGCUAUAGCCUCGCAGCCUGCACUGUGCUAAUUACAUUAUUCAGUGUGAUCAGUGUGGCCUUGUGGAGAAGAAGAAAAACAAAGGUGACCCAGGGGAGAAGUGGACCCAAACCAUGCCAGGAAAAUGCCCCCCACAGCAUAACAGAGACACCGGACCCCCCCAAUGGGUCAAGCAUUCAGGCCUGUACCAUUCUCUUGGUCUAUGCCACACAUGCACUCUCACAAUAGUUGAGAAUAUGGUGAUGAAUGACUUGUCUGACCAUAUCACUUUUUUCCACAUUUCUGUAGACCAGUGCCUAUGGUUUUUGCACCACUGAACUCUCAAAUGUGCAUUUGUCUUUGUAAUGCAGAGUUUAUGCACUACAACCCUACUGUGAUAUCCCUGUUUAUGUAGUUGUGGAUGGAUUGUUUUUGCUGAUGCAAUCUGAUCACGUCCUGCAUUGACAUUCUCAGUCACCUAAGGAAGAGUUGCUUUUCUCAUUUUCCUUACAUAUCGCACUAAUGCAUGAGCAUCACAGUCAUCGAAUGUGCGCUUUCGGCCACAAUUUCCAUCCCUUACUGAUGUCUUUCCCAUAGAUUUAAAUGCAGAUAUCACUUUAGUCACUGCUCCAAUUGAAACACUGGCCAGUUGAGCAGUCUUUGUAGCUGAAACUCCUGUACCCCAAUAAUAAACCCUCUUUCAAAGUCA